rnacentral:rRNA from 1 species
GAUGAACGCUGGCGGCGCGCCUAACACAUGCAAGUCGAACGGCACCCCUCUCCGGAGGGAAGCGAGUGGCGAACGGCUGAGUAACACGUGGAGAACCUGCUCCCUCCCCCGGGAUAGCCGCCCGAAAGGACGGGUAAUACCGGAUACCCCGGGGUGCCGCAUGGCACCCCGGCUAAACCCCGACGGGAGGGGAUGGCUCCGCGGCCCAUCAGGUAGACGGCGGGGUGACGGCCCACCGUGCCGACAACGGGUAGCCGGGUUGAGAGACCGACCGGCCAGAUUGGGACUGAGACACGGCCCAGACUCCUACGGGAGGCAGCAGUGGGGAAUCUUGCGCAAUGGGGGGAACCCUGACGCAGCGACGCCGCGUGCGGGACGGAGGCCUUCGGGUCGUAAACCGCUUUCAGCAGGGAAGAGUCAAGACUGUAC